rnacentral:rRNA from 1 species
UGGGGAAUUUGACAAUGGCGAAAGCCUGAUCCAGCAAUGCCGCGUGUGUGAAGAAGGCCUUCGGGUUGUAAAGCACUUUUGUCCGGAAAGAAAUCCUUGGCUCUAAUACAGUCGGGGGAUGACGGUACCGGAAGAAUAAGCACCGGCUAACUACGUGCCAGCAGCCGCGGUAAUACGUAGGGUGCAAGCGUUAAUCGGAAUUACUGGGCGUAAAGCGUGCGCAGGCGGUUUGCUAAGACCGAUGUGAAAUCCCCGGGCUCAACCUGGGAACUGCAUUGGUGACUGGCAGGCUAGAGUAUGGCAGAGGGGGGUAGAAUUCCACGUGUAGCAGUGAAAUGCGUAGAGAUGUGGAGGAAUACCGAUGGCGAAGGC